rnacentral:rRNA from 1 species
GACGACGCUGGCGGCGUGCCUAAUACAUGCAAGUAGAACGAGUUGCGAACGGGUGAGUAAUGUCUGGGAAACUGCCUGAUGGAGGGGGAUAACUACUGGAAACGGUAGCUAAUACCGCAUACCAUCAGAUGUGCCCAGAUGGGAUUAGCUAGUAGGUGGGGUAAUGGCUCACCUAGGCGACGAUCCCUAGCUGGUCUGAGAGGAUGACCAGCCACACUGGAACUGAGACACGGUCCAGACUCCUACGGGAGGCAGCAGUGGGGAAUAUUGCACAAUGGGCGCAAGCCUGAUGCAGCCAUGCCGCGUGUGUGAAGAAGGCCUUCGGGUUGUAAAGCACUUUCAGCGAGGAGGCGUUACUCGCAGAAGAAGCACCGGCUAACUCCGUGCCAGCAGCCGCGGUAAUAC